AGCCAGGAUUCACCCCUUCCCAGCCCUCAUUUAAGGGCUGGCAGUGGAGACAAGGUUAUCUCCCUGGAGGUUUGUGCCUACCUAAGGCUUUCCAAAGGUCAACUGCAUUUAAAUAACUGCUAGAUAAACUGCCCACAACUUGAAAUGAAUACUGGAUGAAAAACACAGCAUGUUCUACUCCCUUAAAGUUGUUCUGCAUAAUUUUUAACCAAGUUUUGGAUGGAAGAGGUGAAUUAUUGCACAGCAUACAACUUUGGGCCACACAUUCAAUGCUGCCACCCAUAAACGCCUUACCUCAUCUUGAAGGACUGGUGACACAAGGCUGUGCCCGACAUCAUGCAGGGCUGUGUGAUGACUGAUUCCAGUGAAUGAAAGGGAGGAGGUAUCAAGGAUGCUGAAGAAGGAAUGUACCACUUGUCUGCAGGUCAGGAUGCAUUAAGUGACCACUUGGUGGUCCACAGUAUGAUCUGGGACAGAGGAACCACAUAGGAAGCAGAAAGAUAGAAACAUGCUUCCCUCCAUUCUCUACAGCUAUACAAAAAACAAUAAACCCUUGAACAUCCUCCAGUGACAAAAAAAA